rnacentral:rRNA from 1 species
UACGUAGGGUGCAAGCGUUGUCCGGAAUUAUUGGGCGUAAAGAGCUCGUAGGCGGUCUGUCGCGUCGGAUGUGAAAACCCAGGGCUCAACCCUGGGCCUGCAUUCGAUACGGGCAGACUAGAGUUCGGUAGGGGAGACUGGAAUUCCUGGUGUAGCGGUGAAAUGCGCAGAUAUCAGGAGGAACACCGGUGGCGAAGGCGGGUCUCUGGGCAUCUCCUGACGCUGAGGCGCGAAAGCGUGGGGAGCAAACGGG